rnacentral:rRNA from 1 species
GAAUCUACCCAUCUCUGCGGAAUAGCUCUGGGAAACUGGAAUUAAUACCGCAUACGCCCUACGGGGGAAAGAUUUAUCGGGGAUGGAUGAGCCCGCGUUGGAUUAGCUAGUUGGUGGGGUAAAGGCCUACCAAGGCGACGAUCCAUAGCUGGUCUGAGAGGAUGAUCAGCCACAUUGGGACUGAGACACGGCCCAAACUCCUACGGGAGGCAGCAGUGGGGAAUAUUGGACAAUGGGCGCAAGCCUGAUCCAGCCAUGCCGCGUGAGUGAUGAAGGCCUUAGGGUUGUAAAGCUCUUUCACCGAUGAAGAUAAUGACGGUAGUCGGAGAAGAAGCCCCGGCUAACUUCGUGCCAGCAGCCGCGGUAAUACGAAGGGGGCUAGCGUUGUUCGGAAUUACUGGGCGUAAAGCGCACGUAGGCG